GCCGCGCCGUGCUCCUCGUCAUGGCCCUCCUCCUGGCCCUCGACCUGGUCCUCGUCCUGGUCCUCGUCCUCCUGGUACUCCUCCUCCAGCGUCGGAGCCACGGGGUCUGGGGUGGGACUCCGCGGCCUCCUACGCCCCUGGCUGGUACUCGUCGUGGAAGGCCUCCCCGUCCUGCGGCGGCUGCCCCUGACGACUCUGCCUCGCCAGUGAGGGAAGGGCGUCUCGCGUAGGCCGAGGGUGUGUCACGUCGUGGCCGCCUGCUCGCCAUCUUUGAUCAAACACCUGCACACACAAAGAAUGAAACAAGACUUAUUAGUAAGCAUAUUAGAGACUUGAAAAUAAAUAAACAAAACAAAAAUGUCAAUAAUUUAAAAAAGACAUAGUAUUACAUGUAUUACGAAUAGUCCUCGUGGUUGGGAUUAUAGGUCUCGUCAUCACUGUCAAUAUUAUCCAAAUAAGCGACACUAUCCGAAGGUCCUACGUCAUCGUCUUCGUCUUCAUCACCAGCGACA
rnacentral:lncRNA from 1 species